rnacentral:piRNA from 1 species
UGACACCAAAGAACCAUGUAAUGGAAGGG